AAUUGUUUUGGCAGAAAAGUGCGAUAAAUUUAGGAUUUAUUAAAAUAUUAAUUAGUAAUAUAUGCAAU
rnacentral:tRNA from 1 species